GGAAUGCAUGGGUGGGAGGAGAGGAGGCAACGUUUGGUGACCAGCAGAAACAGAGAUUGAUAGACUCUUUGAUAGAAUUAGAAUUAGGCAUAAUUCUUCAGGAGUGCACCUGGGAUGCAUGGCAAAGUUUAUCCUCACAGGCUUCCCUCCCUGGCUGGUAUGUAUCAACCAUGUACAAGGAACAGGUGGAGUUCUCCUUGUCCAGGCCUGACACCCAGGCUUACUGUGGAAUUAAAGAGCUGUGGACAGUAGCUGCUCAAAAGGAAGGUGACAGAUGAGUUCCUGAACAUCCAGGUUGUCAACAGCCAAAGAUAAGAUGGCCACCUGGAAGAGGAGCUAGGUUUGCUGGCUUUUCCACCAUGGGCAGGUGACGCCACAGAGAGGGGUUAUCAGUGAGCAGUACCAUGCAACAUGCAGUGCAGCAGAAACAACAGCUAAGUAAAGAGGGUGUGGCUGUGCUGGGAAAGAGACUUGGCCCACAGCCUCACAGUGAUUCAGAAGACGCUGAGUGAGGACCUCUGUGUCCCAGCUCCAAGGACCCUGAGAUGACCCAUCCCAGGACACUCAAUCCUGCCUGCAGAUGCUAGGCUCUGAGGAGAUGCCUGCUAUAGCACCAGCACAUUCUGCAGACAUGUUUUGAAAUGUGUUAAUAAAUAACUGGAGAAC
rnacentral:lncRNA from 1 species